UUACUGUUUCCACAUAAAGUGAAGUGAAUGAAAUGAACUCUGUGGAGUGACAGUGACAGUGAAGUGGGAUCCAUAAUAGCGUUGUUUACAGUGAGAAGUUGUCAGUUAGAGUUAGUUGGGUUGUUUAUGCUUAGGUUCAAUUAGUGUUUUUCGAAUAUGAGCGUUGAAUUAUGGUUUGAUACCAACAGUGAAGAUGAAGAGGAAUUUGCAAACAUCACUGUGAAGCGUAAAAAAAUAAGAGAUUAUUCUGACCCGCUUAAACAAACUGAAAAAUCCUCCAUCACAUUCUUUCGAGCUUCCAAGGAAAUUUUUGAAUAUUUAUAAAAAUAAUGUUGGUAGCUUGUUUGAUUUGUUUCGCAGAAGGAAAUUAUAAAAAGGGGGUUGGUAACGAUCGCAUCAUAGGAUUAGCUCAGUCUACCAUGUCAAAAGUAUUGAAAAUUAUUCUAAAUAUAGGUAAUUGAAGAAAAAGUAAGUGCUCUUGUAAUAAAUUUUCCAGUUGAAGAAAGCGAGAAAAAAAUUAAACUGGGAUUUGACGAAAAAAAAACUGGAAUUCCUGGUGUAAUCGGCUGUGUAGAUAACACCCACGUAAGCAUAAUAUCACCAGCUCGUGAUAAACAUUUGUUUUGCAACAGAGAAGGUUUCCAUAUAGUUUCAACGUAAUUGUGGUAGGUUGUAGAGCCUAGGGAUCUGUUCACAAAUAACGUUACGUUUUACGGGGAGGGAGGCUUAAGCGUAUGUGCUUCAUACAAAUGAAUAAAUAUAUAACGCUACUAUACUGUCGUUCUACGCAUAAUUGUCCCAUGUACAUAGGAAAUCCCAGCAAGCGUGGGACAAAUAUGUGUAUGACGACAGUAUACAACCAUUAUAGAUUUGUGACCAUAAUCUGGUGAUUCGAUAUGUUCAUCAUAUGAUUCUUUUGUGUGGAACGGUAGCGAUGUGGAAUAGAUACUCAAAAUCACGCAAACGAGGAAAAAAACUCCUGGUUACUCGGUGAUGCCGGUUAUCUUUUAAUGCUGUUGCUGAUCACUCCUUUAAGAACUUAGACGCAUGUUACUGAACAACAGGUGUGGUUAAAGGCACAUUUUGUUGUGCAAAAGGAAAAACAACUGUACUACUACGUCGCACCUUACAAUCUCCGUGUAAAACAUAAAAUGGAUUUCGACGACCCUGAGCUGAUUCACGAAAACGAAAACUUACCCAUUAAUGGAGAAAAUGAAGAAUAUGAAAAUUAAAAUGGAGUAAGACGAGAAAUUAGGAACAAUAUUUUGUAGACAACGAUAUAUAUUAUUCGAACACGCU